UACGGAGGGUGCAAACGUUGCUCGGAAUCAUUGGGCGUAAAGCGCACGUAGGCGGUCUGACAAGUCGGGUGUGAAAUCCCUCGGCUUAACCGAGGAAGUACAUUCGAAACUAUUGGACUUGAAUACUGAAGAGGGUCUCGGAAUUCCCGGUGUAGAGGUGAAAUUCGUAGAUAUUCGCAAGAACACCAGUGGCGAAGGCGGCUACCUGGACAAUUGCUGACGCUCAGGCACGAAAGCGUGGGGAGCAAAAGGG
rnacentral:rRNA from 1 species